UACCGGCGGCUCGAGUGGUGGCCACUAUUACUGGGCUUAAAGCGUUCGUAGCUGGUUUGUUAAGUCUCUGGGGAAAUCUUCCGGCUUAACCGGAAGGCGUCUCAGGGAUACUGGCAGACUAGGGACCGGAAGAGGUGAGGGGUACUCCAGGGGUAGGAGUGAAAUCCUGUAAUCCUUGGGGGACCACCUGUGGCGAAGGCGCCUCACCAGGACGGCUCCGACAGUGAGGGACGAAAGCUGGGGGAGCAAACCGGAUUAGAUACCCGGGUAGUCCCAGCCGUAAACGAUGUGCGUUAGGUGUAUCGGUGACCACGAGUCACCGAGGUGCCGAAGAGAAAUCGUGAAACGUACCGCCUGGGAAGUACGGUCGCAAGGCUG
rnacentral:rRNA from 1 species